AACGGGGGGGGCGAAGCGUUAUUCAUAAUGAUUGGGCGUAAAGGGUGCGUAGGCGGAACAUCAUGCUCCAAGGAAAGGUUAGAGCUCAGCUUUAGCAAUGUUGGAGGUCUUUUGUUCUAUAGGAUUUUUGGGAGGAUGGCGGUACUUUUUAGUGUAGAGGUGAAAUUCUUUUGAUACUGUAGAGGACCAACAAUAGGUGUAAACAGCUAUCCAGCAUAAAUUGACGCUGAGGCACGAAGAGCGUGGGGAGCAAACGGGG
rnacentral:rRNA from 1 species